UAAAAACCCCGACUUCGGAAGGGGUGUAUUUAUUAGAUACAAAACCAAUGCCCUUCGGGGCUCUUUGGUGAUUCAUGAUAACUAUACGAAUCGCACGGCCUUGCGCCGGCGAUGGUUCAUUCAAAUUUCUUCCCUAUCAACUUUCGAUGUUUGGGUAUUGGCCAAACAUGGUUGCAACGGGUAACGGAGGGUUAGGGCUCGACCCCGGAGAAGGAGCCUGAGAAACGGCUACUACAUCCAAGGAAGGCAGCAGGCGCGCAAAUUACCCAAUCCCGACUCGGGGAGGUAGUGACAAUAAAUACUGAUACAGGGCCCUUUCGGGCCUUGUAAUUGGAAUGAGUACAAUUUAAAUCCCUUAACGAGGAACAAUUGGAGGGCAAGUCUGGUGCCAGCAGCCGCGGUAAUUCCAGCUCCAAUAGCGGUAUUAAAAAUGUUGUGGUUAAAAAGCUCUUAAUUAAGACUUGGGGCAGGCUAGGCCGGGCGCCUCACCCCGUGCACUGUUCCGGUCCGAUAUUGUAUAUUAAAGAAGUUGUGGUUAAAAAGCUCGUAGUUGAACCUUGGGCCUGGCUGGCUGGU
rnacentral:rRNA from 1 species